rnacentral:rRNA from 1 species
AACGAACGCUGGCGGCAUGCCUAACACAUGCAAGUCGAACGAGACCUUCGGGUCUAGUGGCGCACGGGUGCGUAACGCGUGGGAAUCUGCCCUUGGGUUCGGGAUAACAGUUGGAAACGACUGCUAAUACCGGAUGAUGACUUCGGUCCAAAGAUUUAUCGCCCAGGGAUGAGCCCGCGUCGGAUUAGCUAGUUGGUAGGGUAAAGGCCUACCAAGGCGACGAUCCGUAGCUGGUCUGAGAGGAUGAUCAGCCACACUGGGACUGAGACACGGCCCAGACUCCUACGGGAGGCAGCAGUGGGGAAUAUUGGACAAUGGGCGAAAGCCUGAUCCAGCAAUGCCGCGUGAGUGAUGAAGGCCUUAGGGUUGUAAAGCUCUUUUACCCGGGAUGAUAAUGACAGUACCGGGAGAAUAAGCCCCGGCUAACUCCGUGCCAGCCGCCGCCGUAAAAC